GUGUUUUAGUGAUAUCCAAAGGGGCAGGAACAAUAUCCUAAAGGGGUAGAAAGACAUCCAUAGGGGUUCCAAAAUUGCAUCCAAUGGGGUUCCAAAAUUAUUAAAGGUAUUAUGAAGAGACCCCUCAAUAGGGUGUGGGGGGGGGGGGCUAUAUUAGAUGGAAUGACCCAGUGUGCUGCAACAACUUUCAAAAUUUGUAUAUAUGUUUUUAAGGCACAAUAUGUGAUGGAGUUUGAUAUGAUGAUCAGCACAACCUGAAGGUCUUGACUGAAUGAACAACUUAUCUGAUAUACUCAUACUUCUAAUACUUUGCUGUAUAUUAUCACCAGCUCAGAUGUCAGUUGGAUCACUUUGAAUGAACAUUGGAGUGGCACAAUAAAGUGUCUGUAUUAGGGAGCAGUCUAACUGAAGUAAAAGGCACACUUUUGGAUAUUAAUCUGAAUCAUAGCAACUACAUAUACUGUAGGUUUCAAAUUAGUUUGAACAAUGAACAACUGA